AAGAGGUCAACAAUCUUCAUAAACUUGAAACUUUGAGUGUUACAAGUUUGAGGAAGAAUCGCCCAAAAUCACCAAGGAACUGGAAUCAAAGGUUCCACCAAAGGAUAUUCCCAAGGACAAGCACUAGUGUUGAUACCGGCUUCUUGUGUUGUUUGCAACAAUUGACUACUCGGUUCUCUCUCUCUUCUAAGGAAAAGUUUAUUAUGUGAUGGCGUUUCCUUAGGAAUAAAUCUUGACCUCGAUUUUCUGUUCAUAAAAUGUCUUAUCUUGUUUAUCGUAAUUGAUUUUUGGUCUUUAGAUACACAUAAGUAACUAUUAACUGCGGAGAAAGCUAUAGUUUGUUAAUCGGAGGUUUCAUGUUCGUA